UACGGAAGGCAGCAGUGGGGAAUAUUGCACAAUGGGCGCAAGCCUGAUGCAGCCAUGCCGCGUGUAUGAAGAAGGCCUUCGGGUUGUAAAGUACUUUCAGUCGUGAGGAAGGUGUUAAGGUUAAUAACCUUAGCAAUUGACGUUAGCGACAGAAGAAGCACCGGCUAACUCCGUGCCAGCAGCCGCGGUAAUACGGAGGGUGCGAGCGUUAAUCGGAAUUACUGGGCGUAAAGGGCACGCAGGCGGUUAAUUAAGUUGGAUGUGAAAUCCCCGGGCUUAACCUGGGAAUGGCAUUCAAGACUGGUUAGCUAGAGUCUUGUAGAGGGGGUAGAAUUCCAUGUGUAGCGGUGAAAUGCGUAGAGAUGUGGAGGAAUACCGGUGGCGAAAGGCGGCCCCUGGACAAAGACUGACGCUCAUGUGCGAAAAGCGUGGGGAGCAAACAGGGAUUAGAUACC
rnacentral:rRNA from 1 species